UUGUAUUCGUAUUGAUUACGACUCAAACAGACGUCGUCCAGUAAUGACAUAUUGAUUUUAUUUUGAAAGUUUAAGCAAAAAGCUUACCCCCUCGCUAGCUUAACACCAGUUGUGAUGUUAGCCUGUUUUCUUGGACACUCCUAGCGCCUAUCCUACUGCCCUGGUAAUUUCCUCAAUCCCACCUCAGGAAACCAUGGCCGAGCAGGCCUCGGGACCCCCUCUCUCGUCCCAACAUGACGAGGUGCUCCAGCAGCGAGUGGCUGCUUUGGAGCAGGAGAGGGCCGAGUUUAUCAAACUCAAGCAGCAGCUGGAGGCCGAGUUCAACCAGAAACGAGCCAAGUUCAAAGAGCUCUACCUGUCCAAGGAAGAGGAGCUGAAGAGGCAGAACGUGGUGCUGGAGGGCGCUCAGGUUGAGCUGAGCGCCCUCCAGGCCCAGCUGUCUCAAGCCCGGACCGAGAUGGAGACCAUCAAAGCGGUUGCCACUGUGUCAGAAAACACCAAGCAGGAAGCCAUAGACCAGGUCCGCAGCCAGUGGCAGGAGGAUGUGGCCUCGCUGCAGGCCGUCAUGAAAGAAACUGUGUGCGAGUACGAGGUCCAGUUCCACCAGCGUCUGGAGCAGGAGCGAGCCCAGUGGAACCAGUAUCGGGAGGCAGUGGAGAGGGAACUGGGUGAGCUGAGACGCCGCCUCACUGAGGGCCAGGAGGAGGAGAACCUGGAGGACGAAAUGAAAAAAGCCCAGGAGGAUGCGGAAAAGCUGCGUUCAGUGGUGAUGCCCAUGGAGCAUGAGAUCGCAGCCCUGAAAGCCAAGCUGGCUACAGCUGAGGGCAGGGUGAAGGAGCUGGAGGCAUCUAAGGUCAAGGAGCUCAACCAUGUUCUUGAGGCUGAGAAGUCGUGUCGCACGGACCUUGAGAUGUAUGUAGCCGUGUUGAACACUCAGAAGUCUGUCCUGCAGGAAGAUGCAGAAAAACUACGGAAAGAGCUCCACGAAGUUUGUCACAAGCUGGAGUUGGAGCGGCAGCAGCACAACCAGCUAAAACACACAUGGCAGAGAGCCAACGACCAGUUCCUCGAGUCCCAGCGCCUCCUCAUGAGGGACAUGCAGAGGAUAGAGAGCGUGCUGUCCUCAGAACAGCUCCGCCAGGUAGAGGAGAUGAAGAAGAAAGACCAGGAGGAGGAUGAGAAAGAGAGACUGAUCCAAGUGAAGGAGCUGCAUGAGGAGGAUGUGGGAGACAACACCGAGCCUCUUGAGGAUUUAUUCCUCGGGCUGAGCGUUGAGGAGCCCCAUGCCAACCACAGCGGCCAUGGGUCUAUGCACUCCUUAAACACUGAUGUGGUAGCAGGCGUCCUCAUGGACCCAUACAAGGAAAACCUGCGGAGAGUUCAGUCAACAGACAGCCUCGGCUCUUCGCUGUCCGUCCAGCAGGGCCUCGGCGGCCACAACCACAAGGCCAAGUCGGCCAGCCACUUGGACGAGUCGGACUUUGGGCCCUUGGUGGGGGCCGACGGGGUGACAGACAGUAGUUUUGGUGAAACUUCAUCCACCAGCUCCAUCAAGCUGACGGGGAGCCAUUUCCUGCUGACUAAAGAUCAGGAGAAAGCCAUCAAGGCCAUGACGCCCGAGCAGGAGGAGACGGCGUCGCUGCUCUCCAGCAUCUCCCACGCACCCGACAGCGCCUACGUAUCGCCGGCAGGCUACAGACUCGUCAGCGACAGCGAGUGGAACCUGCUGCAGCAAGAGGUAAAAAAUGCGGGCAGGAAGCUUGGCCGACGUUGUGACAUGUGCUCCAACUACGAGAAGCAGCUGCAGGCCAUCCAAGGACAAGAGGCCGAGACACGAGAUCAGGUGAAGAAAGUGCAGGUGAUGCUACGUCAGGCCAAUGAUCAGCUGGAAAGAACGAUGACUGAAAAACAGAAUUUGGAAGAUUCCGUCAAAGUCUGCAAUGAGGAAACCGCUGCAAAGGUGUCCGCUCUCAUCCAAAGAGUCCAGGAGUCAGAAACACUGCUCAGCACACUACAACAGGCUUUCAGUGAAGCAAAAAGGAACACACAGGAACAGAUGGUGGUGCUGGUGAAGUCGAGGGAGCAGGUGGCAGAUGAACUUAGCCGACUGCAGAGAGACAACGAGAGCCUGCAGGGAAAACACAGGCUGCACGUAGAACUGCAGCAACAGGAGGACUUCCAGAUGCCCAACACUGUGCAAGAGCUUCAAGGCCUGGUGCUGCUGUUACGUGAGGACCUGGUAGCGUUACGGACGUCCGCCGAUCACAUGGAAGAGAAGCUGAAAGCUGAGAUUCUGUUUCUGAAGGAGCAGAACCAGGCGGAGCAGUGUCUGAAGGAGAAUCUGGAGGAAACUCUGCAGCUGGAGAUUGAGGGCUGUAAGGAGGAGAUAGACAUCUUGGAAGCAUCUUUCUCCAGUCUAAAGACGGAGCUGGAGAGAAUAAAGAUGGAGAAGGAACAGUUGCAGACCAGUCUGGCAGAGAAGACUGAGACACUGGAAAGUAUCCAGGGCCUGAGGAGCCGCCUGGAGCAUCAGCUAAGAGAGCUCACCACUGCAAAGAGUGCACUAGAGAAUCAGGUGUUUGACGAGAAAGACAAAGCUCAGCGGCUGCAAACAGAGCUGGAUGUCAGUGAGCAGGUGCAGAAGGACUUUGUCAAACUUUCUCAGACCCUUCAGGUACAGCUGGAGCGAAUACGACAGGCGGACUCCUUGGAUCGAAUCAAAGUCAUCCUCAAUGACACCAACUUGACUGACAUCAACCAGCUUCCAGAUACAUGAUGCCACUGAAUGAAAACUGCCUUCAGUUGCAUUCCCCCCCUUUCUCUUAUCACUGGCCCCAUUAACAUUAUUGAUCCAACCCCCCCCCCUCCUCCUGCAUAACCACAAGAGACGAAGAGUUCGAAGGGACCGACAUGGCACGGGAAGCCUCUUUGUGUACAUUAAGAGUCUUGGAACACAUGAAGAAGAACACUACUAAAAAAAAUGUAAAUAACUUAAUGUGUGACUUUGAACAGAGGGAGUCCAUCUUCUGUGGGUCUGUCUGUGUCUUGUUUCUACUGUAGAUAUAUGACCGACUGUAUUAGCUCAACCAAAAAAGGUUUGUCGUCUUCUAAAAGCACUUUUCAUCUGCAACUUCUCUUUCCAGGUACAUAUAGAAAACAAGAUCCAUAACUUUUCUCCUUCUUGUUCUCAAAGCGGUUGCUAAUCGCUAGCGUGUUCCACUUGUUCUCUCCCAACCCCACACAUCUUUUUUGCUAUUUUUCUGUGACAUUUUUCACCUUGCUCUUGUCACUUAAUUCUGUGACACGAUGAAGGAGAUUCAUGGAAAAUACUUGCACGUAACUUAACUGAGAUGAAAAAUGGACCACCAUUUUAGCAAUACCCUCCAUAUCUGAAACAUCCUCGACUGUAUCUUGCUUUGCUCUUAAUGUCUCACAGAAAUCGUUUUGUUAUCUAAAGCUGCUGAAAUACAGUGAAGAAACAGUCAUGUCUUAUCAAAGUAUCAAAGUUUUAUUUCAAACUUGUUUCUUGCCGUUUAAGACACAUUUCACAGUGAAGAAAUUGCUUGGAGAGGAAGUGAAAAUGGAAAAUAAUGAAUUUUAAUACACACUUUGCUCCUUUUUUUAAAUUAAUUUAUUUUUUGAGUUUCUUGAUGUAAUUCUAAAGUUCUUAAAUUGCAGUGAGCUGCUUUUUGAUUAUAAUGGAAGCACUCACUAUCACAACACUGGCACGUGGUGUAUUUCUUCGGUCACUGCAGUAAGAGGCAGUCAGCUGGUAGGGGGACGCCUUAUUUAAGGACACUUUCAGAUGGUGGGAGAAAAACUAGUCUCUCACGAGCCGCCUUGCUACUCCCUGACCGAUUCAGGUCUCCCUCGGAAAAGAGAUUUCAGUCUCAAGGGACUUCCUGGUUAAAAUCAAAAUAAAUAAAAUUCAGUGGAUAAAAUACCAACAAAGGACAGAUUUACUUUAUAGUCGGUCUACGAGUUUCAUUUAUCACUACAAGACAUUCUGUUGUCUUUGAGGGUACUAAUGGAUUUAUUUAAAGUAAUAAUCUAAAAUUUUAAUUUAAAUGUCAGUUAAGUCACUAUCUAACUAAGUUCAACAUCCUGAAGACUAAGCUGCAAGUAUGCUUCAUCUGAGCUGCUUGUCAGGUAGUCUGAUAGCUUGAGAAACCUCCUCCCCCUGACACCUUUCUGUUUACGACCAUUUCUGUAACUUCUGACAAUCAGACAUUCAACCUAGUACUGUCACUUUUAAUGUUUAUUUAAAAAAAAUAACAUACGAAACAGUGAGUGGUUGUGGUUGUGUGACGAAGGGAGCUUAAAAGAAACCUUGGCUUCCUUUACCCCUUCACACACCUGGCCAACGGCUGCGUUGAUUGUCUGUUUUCAGAAAGUUGCUAAAAUUGUCUAAUGCAGAUUGAAAAGUGGAUGAGACGCUCUUGGAAGAUCUCUUAGUUUAAAGCAGAUGGAAGCCUUGACCCGUACUGAAAAUGAACAAUUGUGUUUUCUAAUAAUUCAGAUUCAGUGCAGUUGUUUAUUAAGCGAAGAAUUUUGACCACAGCCAGGCUGAGGCAGGCGGGAUUGCACAGGUGUCAUUUUUUAGGCAGAAAAGUUGCUCAUUUCCUCCAAAAACUUUACUUUCUGAUGGAAUAAAUGCAAUGCAAGAUGGAUAAUAGGACAUUAAAUGGGGUGGCAUGUUUUUUAAUCGGUCUAAGUAUGUGGUUCAUGUGCUGUCAGGUUUUAUUACGUAUUUGAUCAAUUUAAUACUUUAAAAUUAAAACAACAUUCACUAAACUACUUUAUAAUGUGCAGACAACAAAAAUCUGGUUUUGACAAACUCACUUAAUAAAUAUUAAUUAGGAAUUGUCAGGCAUGCUCUCCUUUGAAUAAAGGUUGCAACUUAAUGUUCUGCACUCACUUUAAAUGGUUAAUUCUGCAAAUAUUGAUUUUAUGGGAAAUAUAAAGUGUUGUGUUAAAAUAAAUAUUCCAGAAAUGGAAGGAAGAAUUUGCAAUUAAAACAAUAUAUACAUAAUCAUGCACACAGCAGCUUUUUAUGGUGUAAGAACAUGUUGAUUGCUGUUAUUUUUAGUUUUGUCUCGCAUGUAUUGCAUUUCCUUUUAUCUAUAAUGUAGAUAUCUUGAGUUGAUAUUUAUGAUAGAUUCAUGCAUUGUGUUAUGAGGUAAUUGGGAUGAGUGGGCAAGCCAGCCUGAAGUUGCACUGACAGAAAACUGUAUGUCUUUUUGGAUCGGAUGAUUGUGGGCUGAAAACUGAGAACUGGCAAAGUUAAAAGUAGAGAUAUGUGUGACCUGGAUAUUAUUUUUCUCUGAAAGGCCUUACUGCAUUGCGGCUUGUGUGUUUUUAAUUUUAUUUGUGACAUUUAAUGUCACUCUAGCUUAAUGUAUGACUAUUACAUUUACAAAUUUUACUCAUGGCCCAUAUGGCAUUAACAGGAAGAUUAUUGCAUUAUCAUUGCAGACGUUCACUAAUUUGUCAUGUUUAAGAGUUGAUUUAAUUAUAAUUUCUGAUUGUUUAAUUAUUUUUUUUAAUGUAAAUUGAAUCCCCAAAAUGAUUGGAGUGGAUGUUAAAAAUGAGAAUUUGUGUUCAGGGUGGAAGUCUGAAGGUCUGAAAGUUCACACUGCUAUUUUGUUUUUAGUGUAAAUAAAAUGUCACGAUAAAGCAGACUCAAAGCCUAAAUAUGAGUGAUCUGUAUUUAAGGCUAUGA